GAAAUGCGAUAAGUAAUGUGAAUUGCAGAAUUCAGUGAAUCAUCGAAUCUUUGAACGCACAUUGCGCCCAUUAGUAUUCUAGUGGGCAUGCCUGUUCGAGCGUCAUUUCAAACCAUCAAGCCCUAUUUGCUUGGCGUUGGGAGACCGCCGGGCCUCGUCCCGGCGGCUCCUUAAAUAUAUCGGCGGAGUCGUAGCGACCCAAGCGUAGUAAUUCUUUCCUCGCUUCAGGUGUCAAUACCGACGUCUAGCCGCUAAACCCCUAUAAUCUUUUAGUCUUGACCUCGGAUCAGGUAGGAAUACCCGCUGAACUUAA
rnacentral:misc_RNA from 1 species